GAUUACAACUGAUGGGAAGCCCAAGAUAAUUGAUAUAAUUGAUACAACUGGCAGCGGUGAUGUAACUACAUGUACUGUUGUAGAAGCUAAAGAUGGAGAAAUCAUUGGUCUCUCUGGAAGAACUUUAAAGAUUCCAGCAAACUGGGUAAAUCCUUCUGGCAAAUAUCAUAUUGGGAUAAAAAAUGGCUAUGACAUAUAUCCUAAAGCUCUCAAGGAGAGGAUUCAG